AAAGUCGUAACAAGGUUUCCGUAGGUGAACCUGCGGAAGGAUCAUUAAUGAAACUGAAGUCUUCGGACUCAUCUUCAUUAUUCCACACACACCUGUGCACCUUUUGAUUCGAGUGCUGGUUAUUAGAGCUUCGGCUUGAAUGCUAGUGCUUGUCUCAAUAUCAACCUUUUAAAACAAUGUUUUCUAGAAUGUAUACUGUCUCGUUGUAAUGACGAGUACAACCCCUAUAAAACUUUCAACAACGGAUCUCUUGGCUCAG
rnacentral:misc_RNA from 1 species